GCUGAUUUAGGUGAAGUGUUAGCUGGUGUAUGGUCAUUGUAUUCUUAGAUGAAUACAUCGCAUUAGUGAAGAAUCUGUUUGAUACUGCGGUCGCUCAAUACGACUAAUUAGCU
rnacentral:tRNA from 1 species